rnacentral:rRNA from 1 species
AUUGAACGCUGGCGGCAGGCCUAACACAUGCAAGUCGAGCGGUAGCACAGAGAGCUUGCUCUCGGGUGGCGAGCGGCGGACGGGUGAGUAAUGUCUGGGAAACUGCCUGAUGGAGGGGGAUAACUACUGGAAACGGUAGCUAAUACCGCAUAACGUCGCAAGACCAAAGUGGGGGACCUUCGGGCCUCAUGCCAUCAGAUGUGCCCAGAUGGGAUUAGCUAGUAGGUGGGGUAACGGCUCACCUGGGCGACGAUCCCUAGCUGGUCUGAGAGGAGGACCAGCCACACUGGAACUGAGACACGGUCCAGACUCCUACGGGAGGCAGCAGUGGGGAAUAUUGCACAAUGGGCGCAAGCCUGAUGCAGCCAUGCCGCGUGUGUGAAGAAGGCCUUCGGGUUGUAAAGCACUUUCAGCGGGGAGGAAGGCGUUAAGGUUAAUAACCUUGGCGAUUGACGUUACCCGCAGAAGAAGCACCGGCUAACUCCGUGCCAGCCGCCGCCGUAACAC